UCUAGGUGUGACACCGAUUAGUACAUUUCGUAAUGGUGACAAUCUUAUAUUUGUAGGAUUUGAGGUUUUCACGGCGGAACAAUUUUUAGUUCACUUGAAAGUGCCUUUAGCCAAACUGUCACUCCAUAAGCUCCAGCAUCCACAUCAGUGACAUAAGAGGCAUCCACAUAUGUUGCUCUUCCAACUCUGAAACAGUGGACCAAAUACUGCAGCAACAUCACACCAAUGAUGCAGUUUGAACAAAACGAUUCAUUACAAGGAAAUUGUUUUAUUAGACUCAGUACAUACAACAUUUAAAAUUAACUAGGACAAAUGCCAAUGUUAAUUUUCUGAGUUGUAAUGCCAUUUCUGAGUAACAUACUGCCUCCAUCUUCAACCAUGUUCUCCUCACAGUAAAGACAAGUUAUGAGGCACAACUCAAUAAAAUAACAGUUAAACUGACAAUGUAGUUCCAUAUCAGUGAGUAUUUUAUCAGGUUUUAAUACACAAAUUGUAUUACUUAUCUUAACCUGACAUAACAUAUAGCAAGAAGGUACAGCAGCUUGUGUGAAGAAGACAAUACAAGAUGAAGGUGAAGGUAAACAAUUAAUGGCAAUUAAUGUUUGAAAGUGACAUCAGUGAUUCAGUGUAAUAAUACAAUACCUCAGCUGUAAUAAAUACUGAUAGACAUUGUGCGAAAGCAAAAACCAACAGAACUAUAACUACUGUAUAUGGUAUGCGUAUUUGUAAAUACAUUUACUAGUAACAGCUAAA